UACGUAGGGUGCGAGCGUUGUCCGGAAUUAUUGGGCGUAAAGCGCGCGCAGGCGGUCCUUUAAGUCUGAUGUGAAAGCCCACGGCUCAACCGUGGAGGGUCAUUGGAAACUGGGGGACUUGAGUGCAGAAGAGGAGAGUGGAAUUCCACGUGUAGCGGUGAAAUGCGUAGAGAUGUGGAGGAACACCAGUGGCGAAGGCGACUCUCUGGUCUGUAACUGACGCUGAGGCGCGAAAGCGUGGGUAGCAAACAGG
rnacentral:rRNA from 1 species